ensembl:lncRNA
CUGUGUGUGACUGGUGGGCAGAGCUAGCUCUGUGUGUGUGUGACUGGUGGGCAGAGCUAGCUGUGUGUGUGUGUGUGACUGGUGGGCAGAGCUAGCUGUGUGUGUGUGUGUGACUGGUGGGCAGAGCUAGCUGUGUGUGUGUGUGACUGGUGGGCAGAGCUAGCUGUGUGUGUGUGUGACUGGUGGGCAGAGCUAGCUGUGUGUGUGUGUGACUGGUGGGCAGAGCUAGCUGUGUGUGUGUGUGUGUGUGUGACUGGUGGGCAGAGCUAGCUGUGUGUGUGUGACUGGUGGGCAGAGCUAGCUGUGUGUGUUGGUGUGUGACUGGUGGGCAGAGCUAGCUGUGUGUGUGUGUGUG